GCCCCGAAGAAACAAUCCUAAGCACGGAGAGAUCUUUCUGCACAAAGAUCCUCGUGGAAGCAAUCCUACUUGUGAAAAGUUGAGCGCGACCCAGAUGACCCAUCGUGCGAAAAAUCAGUCCCAAGUUCGGUUAUGGCUGUGUGAUGGCCGCCGUGCACCGUCACAGCUUAUUUUAUGGAGUCUGUAACAGCACGGGGGAUCGUCACGCUGCCAUGUUAAGUCAGAAAGAACAAGAUGAAAAGUUUACGAACAACUCAGCCCCGAGGAGGAGGAGGAAGAAACAGCCGUGGGGGUCACUGUGCGGUGAGAGGGCGAGUCUCAGUGUUUCCUGGCAUUCCCAUUUCCUAGUCACUGAGAUACAUUUUUUAAGAUGUAUUCAUUAGUUUGAGAGAGAGAUGGAGAGAACGAGCAGCGAGAGAGGAGACAGAGGGAGAGGGAGACUCCUAGCCGAGUCCAAGCUGAGCGAGGGGCCUGCCCUGGGGCUCCAUCCCACCACCCCGAGAUCGGGACCUGAGCCAAAAUCAAGAGUCAGAUGCUUAACCGACAGAGCCCCCCGGGCGCCCCCGAAAUGUUUCUACAAUGAGCAUCCCUGACUAUAAUAGAAAAUUCUAUGUUUUUAUGAGUCAACUGGAAUGAUUUUUUCCCCCAAAAAAAGAAAGGGGAGAGAGUCCCUGUGGGCCCCUCGGCCCGAGAGCCAGUCAUGUGGGUGGGGGUGUUUGACCUUGGAGGGUUCCCCACGGGCCAUGCCCCGACAUGUUUGCCCCGAGGCAGGCUUCCUCGCACCUUCCCUGAAGUCAAACACAGACCUGGGGCUGGUGUGGGGUGUCGGUUAUCUUGCCGAUUUCAACAGUCCACGCGGAGAAGCCACACAUUCCUGCCCACGGAGACCUCGUCCUACCCCACAAAUCACAGCGCGCGCCAGUGAGACGCCGACUUGCUCGCGCCGGGAGCAGAAACGUCCCCCGGGUGUGUUGUAGGGAGACAAGCACCACACGCUGAGUUUACAACCGAGACGUUGCUGCUGUCCAGUCCGGAGGCGAGAGGUCCGAAAUCAAGGUGUCAUUGGUCAUGCUGGAUGACGGUCAGCGCUGAGAACCUCAUCUCUACCUGGCCCCCUGCAGAGAUCCCACUCCCAGAUGAGGUCCUACCCACGGGCGCUGGAGGUGAGGACGUCAGCACCUUCCGGGGGGCGCAGGGGAGGGGCUGCAGAGGAGCAGAGGGAGAGAACCCCAAGCAGACUCCCCACUGAGUGCAGAGAGCCCGGGCAGGGCUCGAUCCCAUGGCCCUGAUCACGACUCGAGCCGGAAUCAAGAGUCAG